AUUCUAUUUUUCUGUCUGAUUCAGGUUGCCAGUGCUCCAUUGCACUGUACAUUAUAUGUGGACUUCUGGCGCUUUUCUUAAUUCUCAUUACUGCAAUCGAUGUGCUCAAAUACAAAAGCCUAUUAAAAAGACUUCAAAAGUUUGAAGGCAUGAGAGAAUCCAUGAUGUAUGCGACCCUCCACAGGACCAGUGACUCUGUAUACAAUGUAAUACAGACGAGGGGUAGUGGAACUGAAGA